rnacentral:rRNA from 1 species
GGACCCGCACAAGUAGUGGAGCAUGUGGUUUAAUUCGAAGAUACGCGCAGAACCUUACCAACACUUGACAUGUUCGUCGCGACUUUAAGAGAUUGAAGUUUUCGGUUCGGCCGGACGAAACACAGGUGCUGCAUGGCUGUCGUCAGCUCGUGUCGUGAGAUGUUGGGUUAAGUCCCGCAACGAGCGCAACCCUCACUUUUAGUUGCCAUCAUUUAGUUGGGCACUCUGAAAGAACUGCCAGUGAUAAGCUGGAGGAAGGUGGGGAUGACGUCAAGUCCUCAUGGCCCUUACGUGUUGGGCUACACACGUGCUACAAUGGUAUCUACAACAGGAAGCAAGACUGCGAGGUCAAGCCAUGGAAGUUGGAAGUGCCUGAAGUCCGUUACCGCAAGGAGCGGCCUAGGGUAAAGUCGAUAACU